rnacentral:rRNA from 1 species
AGGGCGCAUGGCGGAUGCCUUGGCUCUCGGAGGCGAUGAAGGACGUGAUAAGCUGCGAUAAGCUUUGGGGAGGUGCAAAUGACCUUUGAUCCAGAGAUUUCCGAAUGGGACAACCCAAUAUCUUGAAGAGGUAUUAUCCAACGUUGUUGGAGGCUAACGCAGGGAACUGAAACAUCUUAGUACCUGCAGGAAAAGAAAAUAAACAAUGAUUCCCCCAGUAGUGGCGAGCGAACGGGGAACAGCCCAAACCAUCCAUGUUACGGCAUGGGUGGGGUUGUAGGACUACGCCGUUGCAUGAAGACAUCAGAGAAGAACUUUCUGGAAAGAAAGACCAUAGAGCAUGACAGUUGCGUAUUCGAAUGUUGUCGAAGCAUAGUAGUAUCCUGAGUAGCGCGGAGCACGAGGAAUUCUGCGUGAAUCUGCCGGGACCAUCCGGUAAGGCUAAAUACUCCCGAGAGACCGAUAGCGAACCAGUACCGUGAGGGAAAGGUGAAAAGCACUUCGAACAGAAGAGUGAAAUAGUUCCUGAAACCGUGCGCCUACAAGCGGUCGGAGCUCGUUAAUGAGUGACGGCGUGCCUUUUGCAUAAUGAACCUACGAGUUGCCUUUGCCGGCAAGGUUAAGUGUGACGACACACGUAUCCGAAGCGAAAGCGAGUCUGAACAGGGCGUAUAGUCGGCAGUGGCAGACGCGAAACCAAGUGAUCUACCCUUGGCCAGGUUGAAGGCUGGGUAACACCAGCUGGAGGACCGCACCAAUAAGCGUUGAAAAGCUUCUGGAUGAGCUGAGGGUAGGGGUGAAAGGCUAAUCAAACUUGGAGAUAGCUCGUACUCCCCGAAAUGCAUUUAGGUGCAGCCUUGCGGGUUACUGAUGUGAGGUAGAGCGACUGAUAAGAUGCGAGGGCUUCACCGCCUAUCAAGUCUUGACAAACUCCGAAUGCGCAUCAGUUCUACCGCAGGAGUGAGGGCAUGGGUGCUAAGGUCCGUGCCCGAGAGGAGAAGAAUCCGGACCACCUGCUAAGGUCCCGAAAUGACAGCUAAGUUAAACUAACGAAGUCUGACUGCUAAGACAGCUAGGAUGUUGGCUUGGAAGCAGCCAUUCAUUUAAAGAGUGCGUAACAGCUCACUAGUCGAGGAGUCGGGCGUGGAUAAUAAUCGGGUAUUAAGUUGUCUACCGAAGCAGUGGGAUCAUUAAUAUGAUCGGUAGGGGAGCAUUCCAGUCAGCGUCGAAGGCGUACCGUGAGGUAUUCUGGAGCGUCUGGAAAAGCAAAUGUAGGUAUAAGUAACGAUAAAGGGGGCGGGAAACCCCCUCGCCGAAAGACUAAGGUUUCCUGAUCAACGCUAAUCGGAUCAGGGUCAGUCGGGUCCUAAGGCUCAGCCGAACGGCGAUGCCGAUGGCAGAAACGGUUAAUAUUCCGUUACUACCUUCAGGAGUGACGUGGAGACGCAGUAGUGACAGUGCCGCCAUCUGACGGAAUAGAUGGUUGAAGGGUGUAGGAGUCGAUCAUGGCAGGCAAAUCCACCAUGAGAUCCGAACCUGACAGUAUGCCGCGUCCUUCGGGACAAGGCAAUAGUGCGCGUAAGCAUGCUGCCGAGAAAAUCCGCUAAACUUAAUCCUGCAGGUACCCGUACCGCAAACGGACACACGUAGUCGGGAUGAAUAUUCUAAGGCGCUUGAGUGAUUCACGGUUAAGGAACUAGGCAAACUGACCCUGUAACUUCGGGAUAAAGGGUCCCUACCCUUUUAUGGGAGGGCGCAGAGAAUCGGUCCAGGCAACUGUUUAACAAAAACACAGGGCUGUGCCAAAUCGAAAGAUCCAGUAUACAGCCUGACACCUGCCCGGUGCUGGAAGGUUAAGAGGAGAUGUCAUCGAUAAGAGAAGCGUUGAAUUGAAGCCCCAGUAAACGGCGGCCGUAACUAUAACGGUCCUAAGGUAGCGAAAUUCCUUGUCGGGUAAGUUCCGACCUGCACGAAUGGUGUAAUGAUCUGGACGCUGUCUCAACCGUGAGCUCAGUGAAAUUGUAGUAUCGGUGAAGAUGCCGAUUACCCGCGAUGGGACGAAAAGACCCCGUGAACCUUUACUAUAGCUUAUCAUUGAAUCUGGGCACGUGAUGUGUAGGAUAGGUCGGAGGCUUUGAAGCAGGUACGCCAGUAUUUGUGGAGCCGCUGUUGAAAUACGACCCUUUAUUUGUUUGGAUUCUAACCCGUGGA